rnacentral:rRNA from 1 species
UACGUAGGGUGCGAGCGUUAAUCGGAAUUACUGGGCGUAAAGGGCGCGUAGGCGGCCUGCUAAGUCGAACGUGAAAUCCCUGGGCUCAACCCAGGAACUGCGUCCGAUACUGGUUGGCUUGAAUCCGGGAGAGGGACGUGGAAUUCCAGGUGUAGCGGUGAAAUGCGUAGAUAUCAGGAGGAAUACCGGUGGCGAAAGCGACUCUCUGGACGGCAACUGACGCUGAGGCACGAAAGCGUGGGGAGCAAACAGG